rnacentral:misc_RNA from 1 species
ACCAGGCUCCAGAUCCAUAAGAACCGCCCUCGGAACAAACCUACCACAAGAAGCUUCAUUAUAAUAGACAUUGAUUCUCUCAAGCUGAAGAUCAGCAUCCCCGUCAUAUCUUCCGGUGGAAUCAAUGCCGUGCUCAGCACAAACAACCUCCCAAAACUUGGCACCGAUUUGGUUGCCGCAUUGUCCACCUUGAAUAUGAAGAAUCUCACGCAUUUUGUUGAAAUUUGGGAGAAAUUUUCUUAGAAUCAGAGAGAAAUGAAAGAGAAUUUUGUGUGUG